UUUGGUGUCAUUCCAUUUUUCAUUCAAAUUAAUUAUUAAUCAAAAUUCUCUUCUUUUUUUCCAGGCCGCAGGAGGAAGAUAUAUAUAUGCCACUUGGCCGCACCAACCGUUCAGGACUCGAUAUUGAUGAUCUUUUUGACUUUUUCGGCAUCAGACCUACCGAGCCGACCACUGUUUGAAUACCGGUACUUUGGCGGACCGGGGCUUGGCCUCACUCAUGGACUUUCUGGGCAGCAGCGCUUUUUAUAUAAAAAAUUUGCUGACCUCCUCCACCGAAAACUUGGAGGGGUCAGAUAUCUAGCCGUCUUUUGUUGGGGUGUUAUCUUAAAAGAAAAAACACAACAUCGAAACACCAAAAAGACAUACACUAUUAGAACAACAGAAACUUACGAAAUUUUGGUCACACCCACACAUACACAACAAUCGGCAAAUAAAAAUAAAAAAAUUACGAAAACUUUAAUUCCACUAUCUUGGUGUUUUUAUGGGAUCACUUUUUUAAAUUUUAGCUUAGAAAAAUUUUUCCUUGCCCGUUUACCAAAACUUUAAUGGCGAAUUUUUCUGUCCGUUACCCCUUUUAUACGGCAGCCAUUGGACGCAAUCUUCCCACUUUUCCUUUUUUUUGUUCUCCCUUGUUUAUUCUCUUCCUCUUUGAUCGCACUUAGCGAGCCCUAUCGUUACCCAUGGUUGCAUAUGAUCUUAGUACCAUGUACUAAGAGGAACAUUGGCAGCACCUUGACACCCAACCGUAUCCGGUUCAUUCAUUUUUUCAAGAUCGGCUGGAGCGGUAAUUACAAAUGUAAAUUCUCGCUCAGCCGAUAAUACAGAAAAUUAAUCUUUCGCAAUCGCGGUACGCACGCAACAAAACUUCGCCAUUUUCACACAAAAAGUGAGAAAAUGGUGAUGUGCGUUACUGGAUUGUAACAUUUUCCUGCAAAGCAUCAGGAUAAAAUAAUCAAUUACAAAAGAAGAAUGGAUUUUGAUCCACACAAAAAAAAACACGCUGCUGUGCUCCCACAUUGACUUGGAUAUAUUGAAAAAAUAUCGGUACAUAUUUCCACAAUGAAUGACCAUGUGGGGUGGCUCAGCCUACAAGGUAAGUGUGAAUGUGGGUACAUUUACGCAUCGCCAUUGACAAGAAUGCCGGUCACACAUACUUGUGCUUGUUACAACUACAACGGUUUGGUGCCGCUUUGACGAGCAGAACGUCGCCGUCGCCGCUGGUUUGAAACAAACUCAACAACGUUAAAUGUAUGAACGUCAUCUUCAUACCAUUUGUAUGAAGAUUGAGAAACAGGUAAAUUCAAGAUUCGCGUUCGUGAAGUACCAUUUGGGAAAUAUCUGUUUUUUCUUAUUUAUUGCGCAAUUGACGUGCGACGACAACAAGAAAUGAUCGCCAUUCAAUUCACAACGGACAAUCUGUCUUUGCCUGUGGUGGCGUUAAUAGAGGAAUGCUCUUCGGUGUUGUGUUCCCCAGUAUUUUUUUCCCAAUUGAAUGCUAUGAAAGUGCUACAAUGAAUCUGCCAGCAUGAAGGAAUAGUUUUUCGUGACCUCAUCGACUUUUUUACAUCACCACACAACAACGUUCCCCUGUGGAUCAUAAACCUUCAGGCCGCAGGAGGAAGAUAUAUAUAUGCCACUUGGCCGCACCAACCGUUCAGGACUCGAUAUUGAUGAUCUUUUUGACUUUUUCGGCAUCAGACCUACCGAGCCGACCACUGUUUGAAUACCGGUACUUUGGCGGACCGGGGCUUGGCCUCACUCAUGGACUUUCUGGGCAGCAGCGCUUUUUAUAUAAAAAAUUUGCUGACCUCCUCCACCGAAAACUUGGAGGGGUCAGAUAUCUAGCCGUCUUUUGUUGGGGUGUUAUCUUAAAAGAAAAAACACAACAUCGAAACACCAAAAAGACAUACACUAUUAGAACAACAGAAACUUACGAAAUUUUGGUCACACCCACACAUACACAACAAUCGGCAAAUAAAAAUAAAAAAAUUACGAAAACUUUAA